CUGGCGGCGUGCCUAACACAUGCAAGUCGAACGAAGCAUCUUGCCCGACAAAGAGGAGUGCUUGCACUUCUCGGAGUCAAUUAAGAUGACUUAGUGGCGGACGGGUGAGUAACGCGUGGGUAACCUGCCUCACACAGGGGGAUAACAGUUAGAAAUGACUGCUAAUACCGCAUAAGCGCACACUAUCGCAUGAUAGAGUGUGAAAAACUUUAGUGGUGUGAGAUGGACCCGCGUCUGAUUAGCCGGUUGGCAGGGUAACGGCCUACCAAAGCAACGAUCAGUAGCCGGCCUGAGAGGGUGAACGGCCACAUUGGGACUGAGACACGGCCCAAACUCCUACGGGAGGCAGCAGUGGGGGAUAUUGCACAAUGGGGGAAACCCUGAUGCAGCCGACGCCGCGUGAGUGAUGAAGUAUCUCGGUAUGUAAAGCUCUAUCAGCAGGGAAGAAAAUGACGGUACCUGACUAAGAAGCUCCGGCUAAAUACGUGCCAGCCGCCGC
rnacentral:rRNA from 1 species